rnacentral:rRNA from 1 species
AACGAACGCUGGCGGCAGGCCUAACACAUGCAAGUCGAACGGCAGCACAGAAGAGCUUGCUCUUUGGGUGGCGAGUGGCGGACGGGUGAGUAAUGUCUGGGAAACUGCCCGAUGGAGGGGGAUAACUACUGGAAACGGUAGCUAAUACCGCAUAACGUCGCAAGACCAAAGUGGGGGACCUUCGGGCCUCACACCAUCGGAUGUGCCCAGAUGGGAUUAGCUAGUAGGUGGGUAAUGGCUCACCUAGGCGACGAUCCCUAGCUGGUCUGAGAGGAUGACCAGCCACACUGGAACUGAGACACGGUCCAGACUCCUACGGGAGGCAGCAGUGGGGAAUAUUGCACAAUGGGCGCAAGCCUGAUGCAGCCAUGCCGCGUGUAUGAAGAAGGCCUUCGGGUUGUAAUGUACUUUCAGCGGGGAGGAAGGCGGUGAGGUUAAUAACCUCGCCGAUUGACGUUACCCGCAGAAGAAGCACCGGCUAACUCCGUGCCAGCCGCCGCGGUAACAC